UACGUAGGGUGCAAGCGUUAAUCGGAAUUACUGGGCGUAAAGCGUGCGCAGGCGGUUAUGUAAGACAGGUGUGAAAUCCCCGGGCUAACCUGGGAACUGCAUUUGUGACUGCAUAGCUAGAGUACGGUAGAGGGGGAUGGAAUUCCGCGUGUAGCAGUGAAAUGCGUAGAUAUGCGGAGGAACACCGAUGGCGAAGGCGGCAUCCUGGACCGAAACUGACGCUGAGGAGCGAAAGCGUGGG
rnacentral:rRNA from 1 species